AGCCCCGAGGUGCAGAGCACGUAGGGCUGCAAACCCUGAGGCGCAGGUUAGCACCUGCCGGGGCCU
rnacentral:tRNA from 1 species